CCCUUAGAUGUUCUGGGCCGCACACGCGCUACACUGAAGGAGGCAGCGUGUACUCCUGGAUCGAAAGAUUUGGGUAACCCGCGAAUCUCCUUCGUGCUAGGGAUUGAGGUUUGCAAUUAUCCUUCAUGAACGAGGAAUUCCCAGUAAGUGCAAGUCAUAAGCUUGCGCUGACUACGUCCCUGCCCUUUGUACACACCGCCCGUCGCUACUACCGAUUGAAUGAUUUAGUGAGGACUUCGGACUGGGACCGAUGCGGCUUUCGGGCUGCGUCGGUAUUCUGGAAAGAUGUCCAAACUGUAUCAUUUAGAGGAAGUAAAAGUCGAANCA
rnacentral:rRNA from 1 species